AAGGAAGACACUUUAAACACACCAAAACCCAAGAAACAGUCAUGAGCCUCUGUCUCCUGUGCAGUGGUUUCUCUCCCAGAAUUAAAAAAGAAAGAAAUUCAAAGGAAUGAACCCACCCUUUGUCUCUUUACAUCUUUCAGAUGGCAUUUUUAAAGUGCUUCUGGCAGAAACAUUUUACAAGAGAGGAUGCCCUGGGCUUCUUCCUGGAAGCUAGGAGACUCUGUGUGUGGGGAGGCUGACGCCAGCCAUGCAAAGCGGAUUUCCAUGGUGGGAAGCUGAGGAUAUCCAGCUGGAGAAACUCAGCUUCAAGUAGGACAGGU
rnacentral:lncRNA from 1 species